CCUACGGGUGGCUGCAGUGGGGAAUUUUGGACAAUGGGCGCAAGCCUGAUCCAGCAAUGCCGCGUGCAGGAUGAAGGCCUUCGGGUUGUAAACUGCUUUUGUACGGAACGAAACGGUCUGCUCUAAUACAGUGGGCUAAUGACGGUACCGUAAGAAUAAGCACCGGCUAACUACGUGCCAGCAGCCGCGGUAAUACGUAGGGUGCGAGCGUUAAUCGGAAUUACUGGGGGUAGUGCGAGAGCAGGGGGUUGAAAUCCCCGGGCUCAACCUGGGACCUGCAUUUGUGACUGUAUAGCUAGAGUACGGCAGAGGGGGAUGGAAUUCCGCGUGUAGCAGUGAAAUGCGUAGAUAUGCGGAGGAACACCGAUGGCGAAGGCAAUCCCCUGGGCCUGUACUGACGCUCAUGCACGAAAGCGUGGGGAGCAAACAGGAUUAGAUACCCGUGUAGUC
rnacentral:rRNA from 1 species